UAAGGAAUAUUGGGCAAUGGGCGCAAGCCUGACCCAGCCAUCCCGCGUGCAGGAUGACGGCCCUAUGGGUUGUAAACUGCUUUUGUUUGAGAAGAACUAAGGACAUUUAUGUGCUUUUGACGGUAUCUUACGAAUAAGCACCGGCUAACUCCGUGCCAGCAGCCGCGGUAAUACGGAGGGUGCAAGCGUUAUCCGGAAUCACUGGGUUUAAAGGGUGCGUAGGCGGCAAAAUAAGUCAGAGGUGAAAUCUUGCGGCUCAACCGUAAAAUUGCCUUUGAUACUGUUAUGCUUGAAUCAGGUUGAGGUAGGCAGAAUGUGGCAUGUAGCGGUGAAAUGCAUAGAUAUGCCAUAGAAUACCAAUUGCGAAGGCAGCCUGCUGGACCUGUAUUGACGCUGAGGCACGAAAGCGUGGGGAUCAAACAGG
rnacentral:rRNA from 1 species